rnacentral:rRNA from 1 species
GAUGAACGCUGGCGGCGUGCCUAAUACAUGCAAGUCGAGCGAACGGACGAGAAGCUUGCUUCUCUGAUGUUAGCGGCGGACGGGUGAGUAACACGUGGAUAACCUACCUAUAAGACUGGGAUAACUUCGGGAAACCGGAGCUAAUACCGGAUAAUAUUUUGAACCGCAUGGUUCAAAAGUGAAAGACGGUCUUGCUGUCACUUAUAGAUGGAUCCGCGCUGCAUUAGCUAGUUGGUAAGGUAACGGCUUACCAAGGCAACGAUGCAUAGCCGACCUGAGAGGGUGAUCGGCCACACUGGAACUUAGACACGGUCCGGACUCCUACGGGAGGCAGCAGUAGGGAAUCUUCCGCAAUGGGCGAAAGCCUGACGGAGCAACGCCGCGUGAGUGAUGAAGGUCUUCGGAUCGUAAAACUCUGUUAUUAGGGAAGAACAUAUGUGUAAGUAACUGUGCACAUCUUGACGGUACCUAAUCAGAAAGCCACGGCUAACUACGUG